ensembl:snRNA U1 U1 spliceosomal RNA
AUACUUACCUGGCAGGGGAGACACCAUGAUCAGGCAGGUGGCUUUCCCAGGGCCAGACUCAUCCCUUGCACUCCGGGUGUGCUGACCCCUGCGAUUUCCCCAAACGUGGGAAACUCGACUGCAUCAUUUGUGGUACUGGGGCACUGUGUUCGUGCUCUCCCCUC